AUUGAACGCUGGCGGCAUGCCUUACACAUGCAAGUCGAACGGUAACAGGUCUUCGGAUGCUGACGAGUGGCGAACGGGUGAGUAAUACAUCGGAACGUGCCUAGUAGUGGGGGAUAACUACUCGAAAGAGUGGCUAAUACCGCAUGAGAUCUACGGAUGAAAGCAGGGGAUCGCAAGACCUUGUGCUACUAGAGCGGCCGAUGGCAGAUUAGGUAGUUGGUGGGAUAAAAGCUUAGCAAGCCGACGAUCUGUAGCUGGUCUGAGAGGACGAUCAGCCACACUUGGACUGAGACACGGCCCAGACUCCUACGGGAGGCAGCAGUGGGGAAUUUUGGACAAUGGGCGAAAGCCUGAUCCAGCAAUGCCGCGUGCAGGAUGAAGGCCUUCGGGUUGUAAACUGCUUUUGUACGGAACGAAAAGCCCCGGGUUAAUACCCUGGGGUCAUGACGGUACCGUAAGAAUAAGCACCGGCUAACUACGUGCCAGCCGCCGCGGUAA
rnacentral:rRNA from 1 species